UAGUCCACGCCGUAAACGAUGUGCACUAGAUAUGGGGGGUAUUGACCCCUCCCGUGUCGCAGCUAACGCAUUAAGUGCACCGCCUGGGGAGUACGGUCGCAAGACUAAAACCCAAAGGAAUUGACGGGGGCCCGCACAAGCGGUGGAUUAUGUGGUUUAAUUCGAAGCAACGCGCAGAACCUUACCUAGGCUUGAAGUCCCACGAACCCUGCCCAAAAGCGGGGUGCCCCUUGGGGAAUUCAGUGACAGGCGCUGCAUGGCUGUCGUCAGCUCGUGUCGUGAGAUGUUGGGUUAAGUCUCGCAACGAGCGCAACCCCUAUCCUUAGUUGCCAGCAUUAAGUUGGGCACUCUAGGGAGACUGCCUGGGCUAACCAGGAGGAAGGUGGGGAUGACGUCAAGUCUCAUGGCCCUUAUGUCCGGGGGCUACACACGUAAUACAAUGGGUGCAUACAAUGGGGAAGCGACCCUGCGAAGGUGAGCAAA
rnacentral:rRNA from 1 species